rnacentral:rRNA from 1 species
CCUACGGGAGGCAGCAGUGGGGAAUAUUGCACAAUGGGCGCAAGCCUGAUGCAGCCAUGCCGCGUGUGUGAAGAAGGCCUUCGGGUUGUAAAGCACUUUCAGCGGGGAGGAAGGCGGUGAGGUUAAUAACCUCAUCGAUUGACGUUACCCGCAGAAGAAGCACCGGCUAACUCCGUGCCAGCAGCCGCGGUAAUACGGAGGGUGCAAGCGUUAAUCGGAAUUACUGGGCGUAAAGCGCACGCAGGCGGUCUGUCAAGUCGGAUGUGAAAUCCCCGGGCUCAACCUGGGAACUGCAUUCGAAACUGGCAGGCUAGAGUCUUGUAGAGGGGGGUAGAAUUCCAGGUGUAGCGGUGAAAUGCGUAGAGAUCUGGAGGAAUACCGGUGGCGAAGGCGGCCCCCUGGAAAAAGACUGACGCUCAGGUGCGAAAGCGUGGGGAGCAAACAGGAUUAGAUACCCGGGUAGUC